GGCGUUGUGGCGGAGUGGUUAACGCGGUAGACUCGAAUUUGAUCACAAUUCAAAAUCAUAUCUACUUCCUUCGGGAGCGUCUGUUCGAAUCAGGCCAACGUCG